UACGUAGGGGGCAAGCAUUGUCCGGAUUUAUUGGGCGUAAAGAGCGUGUAGGCGGCUUUACAGGUCCGUUGUGAAAACUCGAGGCUCAACCUCGAGACGCCGGUGGAAACCGUAAGGCUAGAGUCCGGAAGAGGAGAGUGGAAUUCCUGGUGUAGCGGUGAAAUGCGCAGAUAUCAGGAGGAACACCCGUGGCGAAAGCGGCUCUCUGGGACGGUACUGACGCUGAGACGCGAAAGCGUGGGGAGCAAACAGG
rnacentral:rRNA from 1 species